CCCUUAGAUGUCCGGGGCUGCACGCGCGCUACACUGAAUGAAUCAGCGUGCUAGAAAACCUUGUUUGACAUGGCUAGGUAACCCAUUGAAAAUCAUUCGUGAUUGGGAUCGGGACUUGCAAAUGUGUCCCUUGAACGAGGAAUUCCCAGUAAGCGCGAGUCAUCAGCUCGCGUUGAUUACGUCCCUGCCCUUUGUACACACCGCCCGUCGCUACUACCGAUUGGAUGGAUUAGUGAGACCCUCGGACUGGAACCUAGAGGCGGUGGUUCAUCCACCAAAUCUUGGAGCCGGGAAGAAGGUCAAACUUGUCUAUCUAGAGGAAGUAAAAGUCGUAACA
rnacentral:rRNA from 1 species